GACGAACGCUGGCGGCGUGCCUAAUACAUGCAAGUCGAACGAACUCUGGUAUUGAUUGGUGCUUGCAUCAUGAUUUACAUUUGAGUGAGUGGCGAACUGGUGAGUAACACGUGGGAAACCUGCCCAGAAGCGGGGGAUAACACCUGGAAACAGAUGCUAAUACCGCAUAACAACUUGGACCGCAUGGUCCGAGCUUGAAAGAUGGCUUCGGCUAUCACUUUUGGAUGGUCCCGCGGCGUAUUAGCUAGAUGGUGGGGUAACGGCUCACCAUGGCAAUGAUACGUAGCCGACCUGAGAGGGUAAUCGGCCACAUUGGGACUGAGACACGGCCCAAACUCCUACGGGAGGCAGCAGUAGGGAAUCUUCCACAAUGGACGAAAGUCUGAUGGAGCAACGCUGCGUGAGUGAAGAAGGGUUUCGGCUCGUAAAACUCUGUUGUUAAAGAAGAACAUAUCUGAGAGUAACUGUUCAGGUAUUGACGGUAUUUAACCAGAAAGCCACGGCUAACUACGUGCCAGCAGCCGCGGUAAUACGUAGGUGGCAAGCGUUGUCCGGAUUUAUUGGGCGUAAAGCGAGCGCAGGCGGUUUUUUAAGUCUGAUGUGAAAGCCUUCGGCUCAACCGAAGAAGUGCAUCGGAAACUGGGAAACUUGAGUGCAGAAGAGGACAGUGGAACUCCAUGUGUAGCGGUGAAAUGCGUAGAUAUAUGGAAGAACACCAGUGGCGAAGGCGGCUGUCUGGUCUGUAACUGACGCUGAGGCUCGAAAGUAUGGGUAGCAAACAGGAUUAGAUACCCUGGUAGUCCAUACCGUAAACGAUGAAUGCUAAGUGUUGGAGGGUUUCCGCCCUUCAGUGCUGCAGCUAACGCAUUAAGCAUUCCGCCUGGGGAGUACGGCCGCAAGGCUGAAACUCAAAGGAAUUGACGGGGGCCCGCACAAGCGGUGGAGCAUGUGGUUUAAUUCGAAGCUACGCGAAGAACCUUACCAGGUCUUGACAUACUAUGCAAAUCUAAGAGAUUAGACGUUCCCUUCGGGGACAUGGAUACAGGUGGUGCAUGGUUGUCGUCAGCUCGUGUCGUGAGAUGUUGGGUUAAGUCCCGCAACGAGCGCAACCCUUAUUAUCAGUUGCCAGCAUUAAGUUGGGCACUCUGGUGAGACUGCCGGUGACAAACCGGAGGAAGGUGGGGAUGACGUCAAAUCAUCAUGCCCCUUAUGACCUGGGCUACACACGUGCUACAAUGGAUGGUACAACGAGUUGCGAACUCGCGAGAGUAAGCUAAUCUCUUAAAGCCAUUCUCAGUUCGGAUUGUAGGCUGCAACUCGCCUACAUGAAGUCGGAAUCGCUAGUAAUCGCGGAUCAGCAUGCCGCGGUGAAUACGUUCCCGGGCCUUGUACACACCGCCCGUCACACCAUGAGAGUUUGUAACACCCAAAGUCGGUGGGGUAACCUUUUAGGAACCAGCCGCCUAAGGUGGGACAGAUGAUUAGGGUG
rnacentral:rRNA from 1 species